rnacentral:antisense_RNA from 1 species
CUUCACCGAGCCGAUCCACAGCGGCACCUGAGCCGGGCGGUCCGCUCCGUAGGUGGCCAGCAGCGCCUGCGCCUC